CAACAAUGUUAACAGCUAUAUUUGUUUGGAUUAGUUAUUUGCAUAAACGCGCAGGAGAGUGGAUAACGCGCGCAGCGCCAUGCGGAAUAAUCAUGGAGCGCGAAUGUAAGUAAAGAAGAACGGCGUUUGUGAAGGGGUGGGCGGGGGGCACCAGGAGCACCCGUAAACUUGGAACGGGUAUCGCCAGCCCUGGGAAGUUCCCUGGGACGAGCGGAACGCACGGAAUACGGAUCGCUAGCCGGAGUUGCAAGAGCGUGCCGGACGUGCGGUAGUGCCACCGACAAGUGACAAAUUGAUUUUUGACGAAGACGACGAAGAAGACGACGACAAAGACGAAGACGACGACGAUGACGAGGACGAUGAUAAUGACGACGAGGAUGAGAAGAAGAAUGAGAACUAGGACGAGGACGAGUAUAACGAAGAUGCAACAACGACAACGACAACGACAACGACGACGACGACAACGACAACGACAACGACAAAGACGACAACGAUAACGACGACGAAGACGGCGAUAACGAUGACGACAUAGAAGAGAUUUGUGGACCAAAAAUUGUCAGGAGGCGGCGACGGCGGCGGCGGUAGUGGCGGCGGCGGCGGCGGCAGCAGCGGCUUUUCCCGUGCGAGUGGUUAGACCAAAAUCGACCUAUCUUGGAGAAUAUAAUACGAACGAACAAACACGAAGAUUUGUAUGACGUGUUUAAAACCCAUCGGACCGACCUCGAUAAUUGCGAUGACUACCAUUCUGUCCUGGGUAUACAUAUGUCGUCGAGUACUACUACGGUCGUCGUACCGAAAGAAAACUCGUGUAUACGAGAUGAGCAGGACAUAUCAACAUUACAUAAAGCAGACAAACAAGGAGACAUACGGCUAUGGUGAUAUACUAAACGCCAUUAUUCCUUGGAGCUUUUUAAAAGGGACAAAAAAGGGACAUUGAAACACCAGGAUGAGGAUCGAUCGAUGGUUCGAUUGAUCGUUCAUUCAUUCAUUCAUUCAUUCAUUCAUUCAUUCGUUCGUUUGUUCGUACGAUCGAUCAAGAAAGACUCAGUCAAUGAUCUUCGAUCAUCAAAGAAGACAACUGUCAAACACAAAAGUGAGAUCCGUCCUGUCUGAACCGCAACGUGCCUUAUUUACGACCAACACCAACCGGUCACGAGACGAUUCACUUUGCGGAGACGAAACAUGCAGCCUGUUUGAUUAUUAUUUUAUAUAUAUAUAUAUAAAGAUUUUUUUCCCUUUUUUUUUAUAUGUAUAUAUAUACAUAUAUAUACACAUAUAUAUAUAUAUAAAACAUGUUCAUCAAUACACCGAGAUCAUAAAUCAUUGUAAUAUUGAAGAACGAGAAAGAUAAAAUUAGAGAGAAGGAAAGAGUUUAAAUGGUGGCCCAAAAAAGAAGAAAGAAAAUGUGAUUACUGGAACGUUGCAUUGUUUUUUUGCAAUCGAGUACCAAGAAGGAAGAUAUUAAUCGCACGAACGAGAAGAGGCAUCAUCUCGUUUAUACACGUGGGAAUUAAUUCAACAGGAGUAUACGUACACCUAGAUCUCAAUCCCGAUCUCGAUCUCAAUCUUAAUCUGAAUCUUGAUCUCGAUCUUUUCUAACGAUCGUCCGUUCCGAUUGGUAUUCCAACAAGACGAUUUUAAUUCAUACUACUCUGCGACAAGCACACAUUAUCAAUCCUUAAUCAAUCAACAACCAACCCCUUAUCAACGCCUUCGGCAAAGAAUGAUCUUUCUCGUGAAAGUGAUCACCCUAUCGUAGGACACUUUCGUUUGAAAUUUUUUUUUCUUCUUUAUUUUUUUGUUUAUUUAUUUAUUUACUUAUUUUUUUUUUUUUAUCUAUUUAAUGUUUAGAAAAUUUCUUCGAAAGUAUAAAAUGUUAAUGCGUUUAAAAUAUGAUCGAAGAAAAAUGCGAAUAAUUCGAUCGUGUCGAAAAACGUGAAAAUUAGUGUCGGUCUUUUAUGUAAGAAAAAAAAAAACGAAAAAAGAAAAAAAAAAUUAAAGAAAAAAUAAAAAAAAAAGAAAUGAUUUACAAAACACGCACAUUACAUUGUCAAUUGAUUUGUGUUUCGUAAUUACAAAUGUCUCUUUCUUUCUCUCUCUCUCUCUCUCUCUCUUUCUCUCUCUCUAUCUAUCUCUUUCAAAACGAUGAAACUCGGUAGAUAUAUUGGAACAAUUUAACAUGUAAAAAAAUAUCUCUUGUGUUAUGAUCUCAUUUAUAUUGACGUAUAUAAAAAAAAAAAUAGGCAGGAUAUAAAAAUUUAAACAAAAAAAAAAAAGAAAAAAGAAAGAAAAGAAAAGGAAAAACAAAAAUUAGAAAUUAAAAGACGAAGAAAAAUAUAAUAUGUAGUCUUUAAUAGUGCAGGUCCAAGAGAUUAAUUUUAAAUGUUUAUGUUAUAUAUAUAUAUAUAUAUAUAUAUAUAUAUAUAUAUAUAUAUAUAUACAUAUAUACAAACACACACACACAUGCAUACACUUAUUUAUUUGAUAUUUAUACAUUUUUCUGCAAAGUGUCCUUAGAUAGUAAUAACACGUGCUUUCGAUUUUAGCCUUAUUACGUUGUAAGAUAGUCUAAUUAUAAUAGUUAUAUAGUAAUAGAAUAUUUGUUGAGAGAAAGAGAAAGAGAAAGACAGAGUUUAUGAAAAAGAAAAAAAAAAAAAAAGAAAGAAAGAAAGAAAAACAAAUAUACUCUACAUUGUUAACUCCGUACUACCAUUGUAAUUUAUUUUUCUCUCUUUCUGUCUUUCUGUCUUUUUUCUUUUUCUUUUUUUUUUUUUUUAUUGUUUUCUUCUUUGUUAUUGUUCUUAAUAUACACAGUGGUACGUAGAGCGUCGUUAAGAACAUAAAAGAAUUAUGUAGUAUUGUUAAGAAUAAUGGUGCUAUAAAUAUUAUAGUGUUUUAUUUUUCAAAACACAUUUAUUUUUACACGUAUUUUAAUAACGACUUAGACGAUGAUAAUGAUGAUGAUGAUGAUGAUGAUGAUGAUGAUGAUGAUGAUGAUGAUGAUGAUGAUGAUGAUGAUGAUGAUGAUGAUGAUGAUGAUAAUUCAUUUAUUAUCAUCUCUUACUAUUGUCGAGUAAUGAAUUAUUAAAUAGAUAUUAUCGAUGUUAAAACAUUGUUUGUAUAGUAACGUACGAAAUAAGGUCAGUCAACGAUUAACUUGUAAUAAAUUAAGUUCGAAAGUCGAAUGAUAAAAAAUUUUAAAAAAUGUGGCCGAUAUAACUCGUUCUUUUUUUUCUUUUCUCAAAGAAAAAAAAAAAAGAAAAAAAAAAAGAAAAAGUAGAAAA